GGAAGUAUCCGAUCACCUUGCGAGGAGUCCGCCGGCUGUCCGAGCCUGAUGUCACUGCAACUUCGAUUCCUCCGACGCCCCUACUCUUACUUCCCAGUCUUCCGGCAACUUCUCCGCUUCGGCCUCCCCUAGGCCUUGGCCCCAGAGAGGGGACGCACUCCACAGGAACCCGAGCCCUGGGAAGGGACAUCAAGGCGCUCCCGAGACUCCGGAGACGGCCAACAGCCCCAAAAGAGAGUACUCGGCUAUCCAGCCGCCCUUAUCCAAGCGGAGAAUCUCUCUCCACCUCCGCCCUCCUGGGACUCAAAGUUGUUUGUGGAGCCGCCAGGUUUCCUUGUGAAUGGGCACGAUAUGCACUGUGCGCGCGCGCGCGCACACACACACACACACACACACACACACACACGUAUAUGUAUUUUUCCAGUGGCCACUGCAGGAUUGCCAGCUUUCGGAAAUGAGCAUCCGCUCUCUCUCUCGGGACUGGGCGUGGGGUUCACCGAAAGGAGAGGAAGAGACCUUGCGUUUGCGCUGGGCCUGCUCGAUGCCAGGCCAUUCUAGGCUUCUGUCUAUCCUGGUUUCUGGUCUGUGCGUUGUGGGUAGCAGCAUUGGCGUAUUGCGCCGGAGGGAGCAGGCUGAGCGAGGCUCCAGAAGGUGCGCAAUAGCCGGAGAGGAAAGGGCGAUGCUGUCACCUAGCCCCCUCCCUGAGACUCCAUUCAGCCCAGAAAAAGGAGCUGCUUUCUCCCCCAUCUACCCUAGGAGAAAAUAAACGUCGCUGGCAUUUUCCUGCGUCUUUUAAUUUUGCCAAAACUGUUUUGGGUUGGCUAUUGUGGGCCAGGAUGGAGGCCUUCUCCUCCCGGGAGCAAACCUGCCCACGCCCAGGCCGGCAGUGGAGUCAGCCUUGCCCCAGCCUGCCCUCCAGGGAAACAAUGCCCCUUUGUCGCUCGCCCUCCCGGGGCUGAUACCGCCCCUCCCCUUAGCUUAGGGCUCCCUCCCGUUAGAGCAUUCCAAUGAUUGCCACAAGUCACACUUUUCUUUGAGGUCUCUGCCUGGGAAGAAAACAAAGCAGCCCUCCUAAUCACACGGAGGGAGUGGAACUUUUCCUGCCCUCUGACUAUGUGCCAGCCUUGGCUCCUCCCUGAAGCCCUGUCUAGAGGGCUUAUUAGGUCACUUAUGUUUUGUACCUCGUGCGAAGUCCCACAAUCAGUAGAUUAUAGAGGGGGGCACAAACCCAGCCGUGUCUGACAUAGAGAAAUUACACAUACAUACAUACACACACACAUACACACACAUACACACACACAUACACACACAUACAUACACACACAUACAUACACACACACACAUACAUACAUACAUACAUACAUAUAUACAUACAUAUAUAUAGUUUUUCCACCACCCAGGAUUGAAAAUUAAUGCUGUUUUUGACAUUGUCCGUUAUCCACCCAAACCCUCCAAAAGGCUGGCUGGCAUUUGCUUGGCUCUAGUUCUACCUGCCCACCUUCUCCUUUGCCUAAUCCUGAGUUUUCCCCUUCCCCGCGUGUGUUCCCCUUGAGCACUUUUUUGCUAACUUCCUGCAUGCUACUCUCACCUCAGAGACUGAUUCCUGGGGAGCCCAACCUGCAACAUGGAGCUCAGUGGAAAGCACAUGGAAUGUGGACUGAGACAUGACUGUGUUCAAACCCUGGCUCUGUCGCUAAGUGGUUACGUGGUUUGGGGCAAGGCAUUUAAUCCCUCUAAAGUUCACUUUCAUCCGGGGGGAAAAGAUAACUGUGAGGAUUAAGUGAGUUUAUAUAUAGUGUAUGAGUGCCUGGACCACUGAAGCAGUGCAGCAGAUGUUAGCUCCUCCUUCAGUAAUAUUUAUUGAACAUGGCAUCCCAAGUGUUACUAGAAUUUAUAUUUCUACUUUAUAAAUUUUACUAGAAUUUAUGUUUUCAUAUUCUUGAUACUAAUACUGCAUUUUUGAAAGGGGUGACUCCUUCCUUAUUAAAGUUUUAGAACACUAUCCUAAGUGAAGUAUAAUGGUUACUAAAUUAGAUGACAUCUGGAUCUGGCUGAUCUUGAACAAGCAGGUUAAUCAUAUAACUUAGCUAAGUCAUUGUGAAAUUUUCUCCUGUGUAGAAAGAGAUAUUAAUAGUAACUACUGUGGCAGAUGGCAUUUUCCAUAAAUGCCUACAAAAUACUUUCCAUCUCAGCUGCUCUUCAGAAAUGACCUUGCCAUUCCUCCAUCAACAGAUGAAAUCUAAUUCCCCUUCUUUUGCAUCUGGGCUGGCCUCAGGGACUUACUUGGGCAUUGGAAUGUGGCAAAAGUGAUGGUCUGGGACUUCCAAGGCUAGUUCAUACAAGCUAAGUCAUUCUGUGUGAGUCUUUUGGGAUGUUCCCUCUUCCAACCCAGCCACCAUACUGUGAGAAGCCUGAACACUUGGAAAGCCAUGUGUAGGUGCUCUGGCUAACAGUUCCAGCCAACAGCAAGCAUCAACUGCCCACCGAGUGAGCUCUCCUGACAUCCAGCACCUUUGGGCCUUCUGAAGACUGCAGCACCAGCCCACAUCUGGGACCCCAAAAAGAAUGGGAAUAAACUGAGCCCAGUUAGUAUACAAACCAAGACAGAUAAUAAUAAAUGGUUGUUUUAAGCCA